rnacentral:tRNA from 3 species
UGGGUUGCAUUCAGGUGAUGUGGGGUAGUAUCCUACAAGUCUUA